rnacentral:rRNA from 1 species
GAUGAACGCUGGCGGCGUGCUUAACACAUGCAAGUCGAACGGGAAUUAUUUUAUUGAAACUUCGGUCGAUUUCAUUUACUUCUAGUGGCGGACGGGGGAGUAACGCGUGGGUAACCUGCCUUAUACAGGGGGAUAACAGUCAGAAAUGGCUGCUAAUACCGCAUAAGCGCACAGAGCUGCAUGGCUCAGUGUGCAAAACUCCGGUGGUAUAAGAUGGACCCGCGUUGGAUUAGCUGGUUGGUGGGGUAACGGCCCACCAAGGCGACGAUCCAUAGCCGGCCUGAGAGGGUGACCGGCCACAAUGGGACUGAGGCACGGCCCAGUCUCCUACGGGAGGGAGCAGUGGGGAAUAUUGCACAAUGGGGGAAACCCUGAUGCAGCGACGCCGCGUGAAGGAAGAAGUAUCUCGGUAUGUAAACUUCUAUCAGCAGGGAAGAUAGUGACGGUACCUGACUAAGAAGCCCCGGCUAACUACGUG